rnacentral:rRNA from 1 species
AGCGAACGCUGGCGGCGUGCUUAACACAUGCAAGUCGAACGUGAACGGGGGCAACCCCUAGUAAAGUGGCGUACGGGUGAGUAACGCGUAGGUAAUCUACCCCAGAGUCUGGAAUAACCUGCCGAAAGGCGGGCUAAUACUGGAUAGAGCGAUGGAAUCCGUAAUUGGGUUUUUCGGGAAAGGGAGCUUGUAAGAGCCCUUGCUUUGGGAUGAGCCUGCGUCUCAUUAGCUAGUUGGUAAGGUAACGGCUUACCAAGGCUUUGAUGGGUAGCUGGUCUGAGAGGAUGAUCAGCCACACUGGAACUGAAACACGGUCCAGACUCCUACGGGAGGCAGCAGUGGGGAAUCUUGCGCAAUGGAGGAAACUCUGACGCAGCCACGCCGCGUGAGUGAAGAAGGCCUUCGGGUUGUAAAGCUCUGUCGCUCGGGACGAAGAGCCUAUUGGUUAAUAGCCGGUAGGUCUGACGGUACCGAGAGAGGAAGCACCGGCUAACUCCGUGCCAGCCGCCGCCGUAAUAC